rnacentral:rRNA from 1 species
GUGGGGAAUUUUGGACAAUGGGCGCAAGCCUGAUCCAGCAAUGCCGCGUGCAGGAAGAAGGCCUUCGGGUUGUAAACUGCUUUUGUACGGAACGAAACGGUCCUGGUUAAUACCUGGGGCUAAUGACGGUACCGUAAGAAUAAGCACCGGCUAACUACGUGCCAGCAGCCGCGGUAAUACGUAGGGUGCAAGCGUUAAUCGGAAUUACUGGGCGUAAAGCGUGCGCAGGCGGUUUUGUAAGACAGGCGUGAAAUCCCCGGGCGCAACCUGGGAAUUGCGCUUGUGACUGCAAGGCUGGAGUGCGGCAGAGGGGGAUGGAAUUCCGCGUGUAGCAGUGAAAUGCGUAGAUAUGCGGAGGAACACCGAUGGCGAAGGCAAUCCCCUGGGCCUGCACUGACGCUCAUGCACGAAAGCGUGGGGAGCAAACAGGAUUAGAUACCCCAGUAGUCC